GAUGAACGCUGGCGGCGUGCUUAACACAUGCAAGUCGAACGAAGAUGCCGGAGUGCUUGCACUUUGGCAGACUGAGUGGCGGACGGGUGAGUAACGCGUGGGUAACCUGCCUUAUACAGGGGGAUAACAGUUGGAAACGACUGCUAAUACCGCAUAAGCGCACGGUAUCGCAUGAUACAGUGUGAAAAACUCCGGUGGUAUAAGAUGGACCCGCGUCUGAUUAGAUAGUUGGUGAGGUAACGGCUCACCAAGUCGACGAUCGGUAGCCGGACUGAGAGGUUGAACGGCCACAUUGGGACUGAGACACGGCCCAAACUCCUACGGGAGGCAGCAGUGGGGAAUAUUGCACAAUGGGGGAAACCCUGAUGCAGCGACGCCGCGUGAGUGAUGAAGUAUUUCGGUAUGUAAAACUCUAUCAGCAGGGAAGAUAAUGACGGUACCUGACUAAGAAGCACCGGCUAAAUACGUG
rnacentral:rRNA from 1 species